rnacentral:snRNA from 1 species
GUGCUCGCUUUGGCAGCACAUAUACUAAAAUUGGAACGAUACAGAGAAGAUCAGCAUGGCCCCCGUGCAAGGAUGGCAUGCAAAUUCAUAAAGUGUUAUUUAAAAAA